GAUGAACGCUAGCUACAGGCUUAACACAUGCAAGUCGAGGGGCAGCAUGGUCUUAGCUUGCUAAGGCUGAUGGCGACCGGCGCACGGGUGAGUAACACGUAGCCAACCUGCAGUCUACUCUUGGCCAGCCUGCUGAAAGGAAGAUUAAUCCAGGAUGGGAUCAUGAGUUCACAUGUCCGCAUGAUUAAAGGUAUUUUACGGUAGCCGAUGGGGAUGCGUUCCAUUAGAUAGUAGGCGGGGUAACGGCCCACCUAGUCAACGAUGGAUAGGGGUUCUGAGAGGAAGGUCCCCCACAUUGGAACUGAGACACGGUCCAAACUCCUACGGGAGGCAGCAGUGAGGAAUAUUGGUCAAUGGGCGAUGGCCUGAACCAGCCAAGUAGCGUGAAGGAUGACUGCCCUAUGGGUUGUAAACUUCUUUUAUAAAGGAAUAAAGUCGGGUAUGCAUACCCGUUUGCAUGUACUUUAUGAAUAAGGAUCGGCUAACUCCGUGCCAGCAGCCGCGGUAA
rnacentral:rRNA from 1 species